AUGAACGCAAUGACUGUCUCCGUCACAUUUUUCUGAUAUUUAUUCUGUAAAUCAGCUCCAUGAGCCCCUGCCACUCUUCUGAAUAAGCUUCCAGGCAUUACCUGCAUGCUGUGUUCCUGUGGAAGGAUGGCAGUAAUCUCUGCUAAGAUAAACGGGAGCUUCUGUGGAUAAAGCGUAAAGGCAGUGAAGUGUGAGUGGCUGGAAGAUUUAAUGCUUCUACAGUGCUUAGAUACAACUUGAGCUUGGAAUUCCAGAGGUAGAACCCUGCAGAUUGGAGGCAUAUUAAGGAAAAUGUACUGUGGAAAUGAGAUAAAGCCCCUAUCCUUGUCAUUGAUUGUCAUUCUUGUAUGCAUACAGGUGUCCAAUAAAGGGUUGGAGAAUAAAAUGUGCCAGUUUAAAGUUUUCCAAUCUUUCUUAAAGCCCUCAAUGAAUUGCAGAGAGCGUAUUUAGAACAGACUGUACUAAAUCCAUUCCCGUCAAUGAAAAUCUU